UACGUAGGGUGCGAGCGUUAAUCGGAAUUACUGGGCGUAAAGCGUGCGCAGGCGGCGCGUUAAGACAGGUGUGAAAGCCCCGAAGCGUUAACUUGGGAAUUGCGCUUGUGACUGGCGUGCUGGAGUGUGGCAGAGGGAGGUGGAAAUUCCACGUGUAGCAGUGAAAUGCGUAGAGAUGUGGAGGAACACCGAUGGCGAAGGCAGCCUCCUGGGCCAGCACUGACGCUCAUGCACGAAAGCGUGGGGAGCAAACAGG
rnacentral:rRNA from 1 species